rnacentral:tRNA from 1 species
GGGGAUAUAGUUCAGUGCUAGAGUGUGUGCCUAGCAUGCAUAAGGCCCUGGGUUCAAUUCUCAGUGCCA